rnacentral:lncRNA from 1 species
UUUUUCUUUUUUUUUUUUUUCUUUGUAUUUUCUAGGGCUGCACCUGUGGCAUAUGGAGGUUCCCAGGCUAGGGGUCUAAUUUGGAGCUGUAGCCGCCGGCCUAUGCCAGAGUCACAGCAAUGCGGGAUCUGAGCCGCGUCUGAAACCUACACCACAGCUCAUGGCAACGCCGGAUCCUUAACCCACUGAGUGAGGCCAGGGAUCGAACCCACAACCUCAAGGUUCCUAGCCGGAUUUGUUAAUCACUAAGCCACGACAGGAACUCCCAUUUAACAAUUUGCGAUUAAGCACCUGGUAUAUACCAUGGUUCUAGGUACCAGAGAUACACUAAUGCACAAAAGAACACUGUGUGCUACCUUGGUGGUUCCGUUCUAUCAAGAGAAAAUAGACCAUAAACAAAUAAAGCUGUCCAUAAAACCAUCCCUGCUCAUUCUGGCCCAAAGUCAUUUUUCUGUCCUCUUAAGAGUGAUGGAGUACAACACACAUUUGGGAACUAGACGACACAGAGUGGAGGCAUAUCACAUACACACUGAUGGUAAGUGAGCCUGGCUGGAAGUCCCACAGCGCUUCCAUUAGAGAAAUGAUGGGGCCGAUCAGUCUGAAAGAGGCCAUUCGUGUUGCAACAUCUCAGUAAUUUUAGGGCUUCUUCUGGCUUUUGGUAAAGAAGUAAAAUAUUGUCUAUAUUUUUUGGACAAUUUAAGAAAUGAUCAAAAUAAUUUUGACUAUUCCUUUUUUUUCACGUUAUGCAAUAAAUUUAAGACCUAAUUUAUUUCCCAUCCCUGCUUCUUCCCAAGUAGACACUACUGUAUUUUUCAUUAUUUUUCUCUAAUUGAAAAACUACUUAGGUAAGGGAGUUCCCAUCGUGGCUCAGUGGUUAACGAACCCAACUAGCAUUUAUGAGGAUGAGGGUUCGAUCCCUGGCCCAGGAACUUCCAUAUACUGCCUGUGUGGCAUGCGUGCACACUUACACACACACACACAAGAGAACCUGAAAUAAACAUUGCAACUCUCAUUAAAAAAAAAAAAGAAUUCUACUUCUUGCCAGACAAAGAGGGGAAACCCUUAAGGUACCUUGAACUUAAGAGUCCAUCCUCAGUGUACUUUUUUUGGCUUUUUAGGGCCACACUUGAGGCAUAUGGAAGUUCUCAGGCUAGGGGGCGAAUCGGAGCUGCAACUGCUGGCCUCCACCACAGCCACAGCUACAUGGGAUCCAAGCCACAUCUGCGACCUACACCAGAGCUCACGGCAACACCAGAUCCCCCAACCCACUAAGGGGGGCCAAGAAUGGAACCUGUGUCCUCAUGGAUCCUAGUCGGGUUCCUUACUGGUGAGCACGAUGGGAACUCCGGGUACUCUUUCAGUACAUAAUACCCAACACUUUACUCUUUACUGUCUGCCUCCCAUCUAGGAUUCGAACUCCACAGGACAAGGAACUACCAAAGAAGAUAAUAUUUCUUACAAACUCUAAGUGUGGUUACAUAGAGGAUGGUAUUCUUUUUCCCCCAGCUUCUAUCUCUUAAUUACUAGGGUGCCAGCUUAGAAUUGAAAUACAUCUUUCCCUUUGGUAGAAAAAAAAUUUUAAGUAGAUGUACCUCUCUCAAGUUGGCUUAAGGACCAAACUGAGCUCCUGGAUUUCUCAAGAGCUCCCUUCACACAGAAUAAGGCGCCAAACCAAUAACACAGCUGGUCUUGCUUACAUUUCAGAUAACGUCAAAACUCUCAGCCCCCUUCCUUCCUGGGUCCCAAGGACCACUCUUGGAUCCAAACCGAUAAACAAACAAAAAUAGAGACAAAACACAUACAAAGGUCACAAUUUGGUAUCUGCUUAAGAGUCAGGUAAUUCAAUAUAAACCAAAGCCAAACUAAACAAAAACCCUGUUAGGAAAAACCAUGAAAAAUUUAGAAAUAAGGAUAACUUCAUGCCCUUUCGAUAUUACACUGGAUUGGAGUUCUCACAGUGGCUCAGCACUAACAAACCCAACUAGAUCCAUGAGGACUCAGGUUCAAUCCCUGGCCUCACUUAGUGGGUUCAGGAUCCAGGUGCUGGAUUGCGUUGCCAGUCACAGAUGUGGCUCAGAUCCCAAGUUGCUGUGGCUGUGGUCUAGGCCGGCACCUGUGGCUCCAAUUUGACCCCUAACCUGGGACCUACCAUAUGCCGCAGGUGCGGCCCUAAAAAGACAAAAUAUAUAUACAUCAAUCACACUGGAUCAUGGCCUAACAGGCCCACCCAAGGAUUAUUUAGUAGUGCAAGAUAAGGCCCCUUUGUUUGGCUUACCAUUUAUUAUCCGUCAGGGUCCAGACUGCUGUUACCUGCUAAUUGGUAGAUUUUUGUCAUUUGAUGCAAAUGAAUUUUCUGUGGUAGAAAGAUAACCCCAAAGAUUACACUUUCACUGCCCUAUACAAUCAUAACCAGCAUCCAGUCUUACAACCUUACGUCAGCCUUCUGGAAGUGUUCCCAUGUACUGAAUCUGGAAUUUGGGGCAAAUCGGCUUUACCCUGCUGUUGACGGCCACACCCAUGAGGGAGGCCAAGGCACGCAGGCCAUGUGCUCAUUUUGUAGGAGAAUCUUAUUUUCAUGGCUACAGAAUACAGGAAAGGGAAACUGUCACUGUCUGAUCCAGGGCAACAAAAGACUGUGAAUCAACUGCAUUAUCCAUUCUUCAGCCAGCUGACUAUUGAUCCUCUAGUGCUACUGCUGAAUUAUUUACUUAAAAAAUCUAGUAAUUACAAAGUAUCAGGUGACUGUUUGUAUUCUUUAGUGCACACUAUUUUAUCCCUAAAGUGCACAUUAAUAUUUUAUGAUUAGAGUGGCCAGAAGAUAAAGUAUAUACUAAAUGCCGCGUCUACCUGUGCUUUCCUCUUAAUGCAGCUUUACGCUGUAUUUACGCUGGACCUACUGAGGACUACUGCAUUUUCUCUUUUAAAACCACCUGGAUUUUUGGGAG